GGUCAGAAAUAUUUAUAUGACUAUUAUUUAGCUGUAGACUUGAGUAAUUUUAGUAUCUGUCAGUAUUAUGUUGUGCAGGUUUGUUAUAUUUGUGCGCUCUGUGUUCGCUGUUGUGUGACGGAGGUUUUUGUACGACGUCUUAACUGGCUUCAACCACUGUGGAACACGUUUGGUGGAGGAACCAAACUCAUUGUGACAACUGGCCCCAUGGUCAGGCCCUCAGUCUCUCUGCUUCCCCCCUCCUCUGAGCAGCUCUCUGGGGGCUCGGCCACGCUGGCCUGCCUGCUGACCGGCUACUCUCCUCAGGGAGCCGUGGUGAGCUGGGAGGUGGACGGUAGAGAGGUGACAGAGGGGGUCCUGAGCAGCUCAGAGGAGGAGAAGAGCGGACGCUACAGCAGCAGCAGCAUCCUGAGCCUGAGCCAGGAGCGCUGGAUGGAAGGAGAGGUGUACUCCUGCAAGGUCCUCCAUCAUGACCACAGCCAGACCAAGUCCCUCCACAGGAGCCAGUGUAAGGGCUAGAGGGGCUGGCUGAAGCCCAGGACAGGAGCUGUGUCUGGGGGGAGCAGGAGGAACACACCUGCUCAUCUGAUCAAUAUGAGUUUUAAUGUUUGGAGAGUAAACUGAAGCUUUGUGCGACAGAGAACAACAACAACUUAGAGAGUAAUGUGUGUAGCUCAGCAGCUAGAUGUGAGUGUGCUUAACAACUGUCCUGUUGAUGAUUGAUGUUUUUGCUAAUAAAGCUUGCACUGAUAAAUAACAUGAUGAAGUAUAUCGGUCUUUUGUCUUAUGUAGAUUGGUAAGAAAUUUUACAACUUUGAAAGUUUAUAUCAUGGUAAAAAAUAUCGACAAUGAAUUUUCUAAAUAAGAUUUUUGGUGAGAACAAAAUCUACUAAAUAAAAUAUAUGAUCAGGUAACAUUUGUCAGAGAUUUUCUGCUGAGUGUUAAUAUGAACAAAACAUGAUGUGGUGUCUUUAGACUUUACAGCUGUGUGUUGAAUCUAAAUGUGAUCUACUUUCAUUCUGCAUUU